rnacentral:rRNA from 1 species
CUUAGCAAAUCUCUUAGUCCACGAGCUCAAGCACUAUCGACGUAUGAAAAAGAAUGCUUAGCACUCAUCAUGGUUGUUGACAAAUGGCGAUCAUAUUUGCAGCAUCUUCCAUUUACUAUAUACACCGAUCACUAGAGUUUGGUUCAUUUGGAGUCACAACAGUUAACAAAUAGCAUUCAACAUAAAGCGUUUUGCAAGUUGGUUGGGUUGCAAUAUCAGGUGAGGUACAAGCAAGGCUCCUUGAACACUGUUGUUGAUGCUCUUUCUAGGACACCACAAGACUCUAAACUCAAUGCCAUAUCUCGAGGGCAACCUAAAUGGUUAGAAGUCAUCAGUGACAGCUACUCGCACGAUCCAGAAGCGAAACAAUUGCUCACAAGAUUGAGUGUGGUUAGUCCUGAUGACAAGGGCUUCACUCUCCAUGAGGGGUGA